GCCUUGGUGGUGUAGUGGUAAUACCCACAGCAUUCGUUACGUUACUGUGAGUUCCUGGUUCGAUUCCAGGUCAAGGCU